rnacentral:piRNA from 1 species
UGAAAUGGAGCACAGAACCACAUGGAAACAC